CGGUUCAAGUCCUCAAGACUGUUUCUGGGGGUUGCCGAGCUUCAGCGGCCUCCUUGAUUGGCUGAGGCGGAAAGGCACGUGCAGCCGCUGAUUGGCUGCGGGAUACGCCCAUGCAGCCGGUGACUGGCUGCAGGGUAGACACGCCCCAUGCAAGGCUGGAAGGCGGGAUCAGGGGGACUCCUGUUGCCCUCCGACCUUCCCCGCGCCACCGACGGAAGCCGGCUGGCGUCGGGCGCCCUCUCCUGGCCUCUUCUCUUUCCUGGCUACCGUUGAAUGCGCGGCCUGGCGCGUUGGAACUGCCAACUGGGCUUCCAUAACGCAGGGCUUCUCUGGCAGUCAGACGGCCCUGGGCUUGGCAGUCACUGGGGCGGGGGGGGGGGGGGGGGUCUGUUGGGUGCCAGGACGGCUCUCCAACCUGAGAGGCCCCUUGGAGCCUGUCGGUGGGACAGAGACUACUUCUGGGUUGCUCGUCUGGGGAGGCUCAGUUCACCAGGAGCCUGUGUGCAUUCAGCCCGCCACCAAGUCGGUUACCGGAAAAUCAGCUUUCCAGUGAGCAUAAGUAGGCCAGUCGUCCAAAAGUGGGGUGCUUCCCGCAGCGAGUCGGAAAAGCCGUUUGUAGCAUUUAGACUCUGCCAAGGUCAUACACGGUCGGAAGCGUGCUGAGGAGGAAAAAUAUCCUGGAGCCCUUGCAACGAGAGCCAAAGUUACCUGCCGUCUCGUCCCUUCUGAACCACACGGCUCUGACGCGAGAGCCAGCUGAGGCAAAGACCCCGGGCCCCUCCUCUUCCUGAGGACCACUGCUGCUGCAGAUGGGAAAGAGUUCUUUUCUUCCCCAGACUUUCAUGAAAGGGCUGAUCCAGGGUGUUGUCUAUGGAGCCAUUGCAGCCUCACUGCUGUUUUUCUGCCUCAUCCCACUCAUCACCGCUUACCUUAAACUUCCAGAAAAAGCAAGAUAAAGUGGAGCUCAUGAAGCCUAUGAAAACUACGUGCCUACCUGGAGUCCCAAUAUCUGCAGGAUUACCAAAGUCCACGGAAUCCUUAGGCACCCCAGAAACCCUGGAGUCUAUAACAAACCCGGAUCCCUGGAGCCUCCUCAGCUCACAAAGCCCUCUCAAGCCCCACCUGUCCCUCACACUGACUGGUUCUCCAUUGAGUAGGGUUACUCUGGGACCUGGUCUUAGAAUCUUUGCAAGCAAACUCUACAAUCUGUUGUUCGGGUUAACCAGAAGAAGUAUGCUCUGGCCUAGGAUGGUAUCAACGAAAGGAAAAAUAAAUGUGAGACUAUGGUCCAGAAGUAGCUUUGGAGCCCCUACUGUAUGCCCAGAACCUGGAAUAUACAUACAAGAGCACCAGGCUUUGGAGCCAUCAUAUAUGGAUUGAAUCCCAACUUUAAUGCUUAGUGGCUAUAUGUCUUUGGAUGAAACCUUUUCACCACUGCACCCUUUGAACUUCGGUAUCCUGACCUGAGGCAUAUGUAGGUAGAUAGUGAGUGAAAAGUGGUAUCCAGAGGUCCAGGUGGAGAAAAGACACAAAGACCAUCCCUGAAUGCCAAGACAAGGCAUUGGAGCCUUAAUCUUGACUCCCUUAGAAUGUGAGUUCCACAAGAACAGGUAUCUUGUCUGUCUUGGUUUCUACUUGAACCACCAGCACCUAGAAUGGUUCCUAAAAUAUAAGACUCUCAAAGAUGUUUGUCGAAUAACUGAAUGAAUGAAUGAAUGAAUGAUAAGCUGUUGCAAGGUUUGAAGCAAAGAAUGAUACAUAGUGAAAUCAUACUAGGAGUAGUUAUGGAACUCAGAAGAUACAAGACUGGAGGCAAAGAGCCUAGUUAACAGGUUAGUGCAGUAUUUCUUGGCUGAUAGACAGGCAUACAAGAAAUGAGAACAGGGAUCUGGCAAGAGGAUGGACGAUGGCUGUGUAUUGUUCCCCGCUGAAUGGAUGACAUCCUCCCUUCUGGAGCCAGAUGCUGGUAAUUUUCAGAGGUUGCAAAAAAGGGUCAUCUCUUCCCUGAAGCAUUAUUUGUGCAUAAAUCCAAUGGUUCUCCAUCCAGCACCAAUGUGAUGGUCAUCCCGUACUCAAGAGCAGAUGUUUAUAUAAGCCCCCAUGCACGGGCACUCCUUUGGCAUGCAGUUCACACAUUCCACAAAAAUAUAAGCAUCCACCUUGUGCCGGGUAGUGGAGUGAACCAGACAGACACUGGCCCUGCCUCCGUGGAGCUCGUGGUCCACACAGGUACACAAACAACAAUGAAAUAAACACAAAACUGCAGCUUACAAUGUUGACAAGUGCUAGGAAGAAAAAGGAUAUAAUACUAUGAGAAAGUAUGAGGGACAAGGGGAAGAACCCAGUUUGGAUUAGAGAAUCAGAGAAGGCCUCUCUGAGAGUGACAUUUGGGCUGAGAGACCAAAAGGAUUAUCAGGGGCUACUCGGAGGGACAGCAGAUUCUAGGCUCUGUGAUGGGAGAAGUUUAGUGAGUCUAAGAGUCCAGGUCUAUGCCCCGGAGCUCAGGUGGAAGGGUGAGCUCCGGACGUACCAGAUCUUUCAGGGCCUCAAAGGCUCUGGUGAGAAGUUUUAAGUUCUAUCCUCACUCACAGAGGGUUAUUUCCUCACGUGCUCUGUAACUUCGGAACGUGUGGUCCUAAGGAGCGGAGAAUGCCAUCUAGACGAGAAAUGGGAGAGAGGAUGGGAACUGGGCUGGGAACAGGUCAGGGAUGGGUUUGGACAAGAGAACGAAGAGCUGGGUCUUCCUCGCGUGUCUCGCUUUGUUCGUGAUAGGGAUCUUGCUUGCAGGAAGGGAAAUGGGGCACAAGAUGCCUUCUCAUCGGCCCUGAGGGUCGAGCACAUGGCAUUUUUGUUCCUUGGUCGAUGGCUUUCAAUUCGCCGCCUAUCACCUGCUCGCCCACAGUACUGGCUUGAAGAAGGAGUGUCUCUUAAAGGCUGAUUAGGCCUGCAGUUCACAGGGCUGGUAGGGUCUUAGAACCUUCUGCUCAAGAUAAACGAACUGCCGCUGGCUCCAGACUGCCUCAGGCGUGGGAGACUCAAGGGUUCUACUGCACGGUCCCUCCCCGUCCCAGCAGCCCCCGCGUGCAUCAUUAGGCCCUGAUUGGCUCCGGACGGAUUCACGUGUGCUAACGGCAUGCCUGAGGGGCGGGACUUCGCGGGGCGGCUUUCCCACGUGACCUCUGGUUGGUCGGAAGUUGGUGAGGCUGGGGACUCCCAGGCCGCCUAAUGAACUUGUUAUGAGUCAGCCUGAUGCGUUAGCCUUCCUCUCCCUUCGUCCCUUCACGGAAGUUCCCGUAGAUAGUGAGUCGGCCAAUCGAUCACGUGAUGCACUCGGCCAAACUCGAGGAGGACGUUCAGUUGUCUGGAAAGUAGCCUAGCAGAGACCUGCUGAGGCGGGCCCUGGUUGGCGCUGUGGGAACCCAAGACAAGGGGACCAGACCCAGAAACCAGAGCUCCACGACCUAGAGAUUCUUGUGGUUGGAGAUCCUGUGACCUUGACCUGUACCAUCAAAGGCACCUGUGCAGAGAAACCAAAGCCUUUUUCCUUUCCUGGAAUUGGCCCGCUCUCUCCUCCAACACAGACGGCUCCAGCAACUCCUCCUCCUGGUGCCGCACUUCACCCCAAAGCCUCAGGAUUAUGGCACCACUCUCAGAUGUUAUUUGAACUUCUCCCUAGCUAAGUUGACCAGAAGUAGCAUGGUCAUGUUCCAGGCGGUCUCACCCACUAGGCUGCUCUAUUCAUCUUGUUCCUUGGAGAAGACUCUACAGUGCAACUGUUCCUUCCAUGGGAUCCCUACACCCUCUGUGCAGUGGUUGAUGGAAGGUGUUCCUGUGGAUGUGAACAGCACAGACAACAUCUUCCAGGUGACUUCCACCAUAAUUGGCCCCUGGACCAACAGCACCAUCAGCCUCAUAGGGGAGCCAGAAAUAGUCAUGAGUCUCCGCUGUGAGGGGAAGAACCAGUAUGGAACCCAUACUUCAAGCAUCUUCCUCCUACCAGUUUACAGUGUGUUCACGAAGGGGCUGAUCCAGGGCGUUGUGUAUGGAUCCAUUGCAUCGGCACUGUUCUUCUUCUUCCUUGUCCUCCUUGCAAUGAAGAUUCUUAAAUGGUGGGAGGACAGGCACAUUCCCAAGGCCAGAGAGACCCCAAUUAUCCAGAAGCCAGAGCUGCCGGAAGAGCCAGAAACAGCCAUGGAGUCUGAAGCCAAAACUCCUGGGCCUCAAUUGGAAUCUAGGGCUCCCGAGAGAGGACAGACCAUGGACAGACAGACUCCCAGACGGAUCAAGACACACGCAUGGAUCGAAGAUGCGGAGACCGACCGGCCCAGCCAGACCUCACAGACCUACAGGGCAGGAGCAGCGACUUUGUCUGAGACUCUAAGACCGGAGACCACUGCUAGGAGCUCACGCAUUCCCUGGGCAGACAUCCCCCCAAAGACUCCUGGGUGCUGGGCCUCUUGGUCAGCCCCCACCAGGGACUCACCUGCUUCCUGCCCUUAAGCCACACGGUCUGGGCCGGCAGCCGGACGUGCAGGAGCACGGAGGAUGGACAGAGGAGCCUGGGGGGAGGCAGCACUAGGAAAUGGGCUAAUGCUGUGGCAGAGGCCACGCGGGCACUGUGACCCAGAGUGACCAGUCACCCUCCUGAGGCCUCGGGCACUGCCAAGCAAAUCCGCCCUCGGCGUUCUGCAGAGAGAAACGGGGAGCUGUGGGAGGGAAGCGCCCGAAACACUAAAGAAGCCCCAGAGGCCUCUCUGCAGGGACACUGGGGAUCAUGAAGCCCGUCCUCCACACCCCGACAUUGCAAACGGGGAAACCGAGCCUCAGAGUGCCUCAGGCCACUCAGCAACGCUGUGCACUGCUCAGGACCCCUCCAUCCCAGGACCUUUGAUCCCUGGAGCAGCUCUCCCCGUCCCUGGCCAUUUUCUCCUGCACUAAGAUUCUAGUGCACAGGUUGCAAAAUCAAAAGCCCCCGUUGGCCCCGCAGGUAACAAAAUGGGUGCCGUUGGCCUGGUGGGGACCUGGUCCAUCUUGAGAGCAGGCUCCCCACCUGAAGGGGGUGCCAGCAACAGCGAACUCAGCUCCAACCCUUACCUCCCGGCAGGAAUGAGAUCUGAACUGCUGGGUCUUCUGGUUUUGUUUUAAUGUAUCUGUCAUCUACCUCUGUCUGUCUGUCUGUCUAUCGAUCUAUCUAUCUAUAUCUAUCAUCUAUCCAUCCUCUAUCUAUCUAUCUCUGUAUUUUCAGAAGAAUCCAGAUACUUAGAUUCUAGUGUGAAAUUUCUGGAUUCGCACACGUUAGUAACAGUGUUUAAAAAGCACCAUGGGUCCUGGGGCGCCUGCGUGGCUCAGUCAUUUAGGCAUCCAACUCGAUUUUGGCUCAGGUCGUGAUCUCAUGGUUCGUCAGGCUCUGUGCUGACAGUGUUGGGAUUCUCUCUCUCCCUCUCUGUCCUUUCCCACUCGU